rnacentral:rRNA from 1 species
UACGUAGGGGGCAAGCGUUGUCCGGAAUCAUUGGGCGUAAAGCGCGUGUAGGCGGUUCGAUAAGUCUGCUGUGAAAGUCCAGGGCUCAACCCUGGGAUGCCGGUGGAUACUGUCGAGCUAGAGUACGGAAGAGGCGAGUGGAAUUCCCGGUGUAGCGGUGAAAUGCGCAGAUAUCAGGAGGAACACCUAUAGCGAAGGCAGCUCGCUGGGACGGUACUGACGCUGAGGCGCGAAAGCGUGGGGAGCGAACAGG